rnacentral:rRNA from 1 species
AGUGAACGCUGGCGGUAGGCCUAACACAUGCAAGUCGAACGGCAGCACAGUAAGAGCUUGCCCUUACGGGUGGCGAGUGGCGGACGGGUGAGGAAUACAUCGGAAUCUACUUUUUCGUGGGGGAUAACGUAGGGAAACUUACGCUAAUACCGCAUACGACCUACGGGUGAAAGCAGGGGAUCCUCGGACCUUGCGCGAUUGAAAGAGCCGAUGUCGGAUUGGCUAGUUGGCGGGGUAAAGGCCCACCAAGGCGACGAUCCGUAGCUGAUCUGAGAGGAUGAUCAGCCACACUGGAACUGAGACACGGUCCAGACUCCUACGGGAGGCAGCAGUGGGGAAUAUUAGGCAAUGGGCGCAAGCCUGAUCCAGCCAUACCGCGUGGGUGAAGAAGGCCUUCGGGUUGUAAAGCCCUUUUGUUGGGAAAGAAAAACAGCAGGUUAAUACCCCGCUGUUCUGACGGUACCCAAAGAAUAAGCACCGGCUAACUUCGUG